rnacentral:lncRNA from 1 species
UGUUCAGUUGCUCACACAAUUUCUGGCUGGCCAUAGACAUGUCUUUUGAACCACCAGAGUUUGAGAUUGUUGGUUUUACCAACCACAUUAAUGUGAUGGUGAAAUUUCCAUCUAUUGUUGAGGAAGAAUUACAGUUUGAUUUAUCUCUCGUCAUUGAAGAACAGUCAGAGGGAAUUGUUAAGAAGCAUAAACCCGAAAUAAAAGGAAACAUGAGUGGAAAUUUCACCUAUAUCAUUGACAAGUUAAUUCCAAACACGAACUACUGUGUAUCUGUUUAUUUAGAGCACAGUGAUGAGCAAGCAGUAAUAAAGUCUCCCUUAAAAUGCACCCUCCUUCCACCUGGCCAGGAAUCAGUUAUAGGAUAUUCCAAGAUAAAUGCAUGAAUACUACCUUGACGGAAUGUGAUUUCUCAAGUCUUUCCAAGUAUGGUGACCACACCUUGAGAGUCAGGGCUGAAUUUGCAGAUGAGCAUUCAGACUGGGUAAACAUCACCUUCUGUCCUGUGGAUGACACCAUUAUUGGACCCCCUGGAAUGCAAGUAGAAGUACUUGCUGAUUCUUUACAUAUGCGUUUCUUAGCCCCUAAAAUUGAGAAUGAAUACGAAACUUGGACUAUGAAGAAUGUGUAUAACUCAUGGACUUAUAAUGUGCAAUACUGGAAAAACGGUACUGAUGAAAAGUUUCAAAUUACUCCCCAGUAUGACUUUGAGGUCCUCAGAAACCUGGAGCCAUGGACAACUUAUUGUGUUCAAGUUCGAGGGUUUCUUCCUGAUCGGAACAAAGCUGGGGAAUGGAGUGAGCCUGUCUGUGAGCAAACAACCCAUGACGGUAAGCCCUGAGAUGCACCUCCGCUAAGCAUCCUAAACAGCUUUAUAGACACCUGCCCUAGACAUGAUUGCAUCCAACUCAAAUUCCAGCUCAGUUCAGAAAUCUAUCGCCCUGACAUUAUCUCUCAGCCCUGACUGCUCAGCUUCAUGCUAGGAAGGAGACCACACCCGCUUCUGAGGCAGCUCAUUCACUCUUAGAUCAAAGGAGUUGCUAGAAACCUUUUCUGUCUGGUGGAGCGAGGUCUGCCUCCAUGAGCCCCCCUUGGCAGUACUUAUUCUACCAUCCCAGGCUCCCUAAAGCAAGGCUCAUCAGUCCUCCCAAGACCACCAGCAGAGCUCAAGCCCUGUCACAUACCCCAAAGGUCUUUCCUCCCCAGGCGGCACAUCUCCAGCCACUGCCGACAUGUGAUGGGAAGCAAGUGUCAGGAAAUCUGACCACGGUCCUCAGCCAGUGCUGCCUGAUUCAGGGCCCCUUAUAUGCAGGAAUCCAGGAUGUCAACACAGUCCUUCACACACCAUAUGGAUCACUUCUAGCUU